UAGAGGGGUGGACAACACACAGACACACAGGCAGAGGCACGCGGGACAGAUGGACACACAUAUAUACUGACAGUCACAGAUACACUGUGUGAGUCCAGAUGGAAACACACACACACACAGACACAGGCAAAGAUGUUCACACAGAUACACACACCAGGGUUUUCGUUAGCCUGCAAUUGCCGGCUUUUGGCCGAUCCAAAAAAUAAAAAUCCUCUCUCCAGAGAUGUUCGAUCGGGUUCAAGUCCAGGCUCUGGCUAGGCCACUCAAGGACAUUCAGAGACUUGUCCCGAAGACACUCCUGCGUUGUCUUGGCUGUGUGCUUAGGGUCGUUGUCCUGUUGGAAGGUGAACCUUUGCCCCAGUCAGGUCCUGAGCGCUCUGGAGAAGGUUUUCAUCAAGGAUCUCUCUGUACUUUGUUCUGUUCAUCUUUCCCUCGAUCCUGACUAGUCUCCCAGUCCCUGCAUUGAAAAACAUCCCACAGCAUGAUGCUGCCACCACCAUGCUUCACUGUAGGGAUGGUACCAGGUUUCCUCCAAACAUGACGUUUGGCAUUCAGGCCAAAGACUUCAAUCUUGGUUUCAUCAAACCAGAGAAUCUUGUUUCUCAUGGUAUGAGAGUCCUUUUGGUGCCUUUUGGCAAACUCCAAGUGGGCUGUCAUGAGUCUUUUACUGAGGAGUGGCUUCCAUCUGGCCACUUUACUAUAAAGGCCUGAUUGGUGGAGUGCUGCAGAGAUGGUUGUCCUUCUGGAAGGUUCUCCCAUUUCCACAGAUGAACUCUGGAACUCUGUCAGAGUGACCAUCGGGUUCUUGGUCACCUCCCUGACCAAGGCCCUUCUCCCCUGAUUGCUCAAUUUGGCCGGGCAGCCAGCUCUAGGAAGAGUCUUGGUGGUUCCAAACUUCCAUUUAAGAACGAUGGAGGCCACUAUGUUCUUGGGGACCUUCAAUGCUGCAGAAAUGUUUUGGUACCCUUCCCCAGAUCUGUGCCUUGACACAAUCCUGUCUCGGAGCUCUACCCACAAUUCCUUCAACCUCAUUGCUUGGUUUUUGCUCUGACAUGCACUGUCAACUGUGGGACUUUAUAUAGACAGGUGUGUGCCUUUCCAAAUCAUGUCCAACAUAGCUCAAUUUCGAGUCUCAUAGCAAAGGGUCUGAAAAAGUAUGUAAAUAAGGUAUUUCUAAAGUUACUUUUUUAUAAAUGUGCAAAAAUGUCUAAAAACCUGUUUUCACACUGUAAUUAUGGGGUAUUGUGUGUAGAUUGAUGAGGAAAAACUAUUUUUGAAUACAUUUUAGAAUAAGACUGUAACGUAGCAAAAUGUGGAAAAAGUCAAGGGGUCUGAAUACUUUCUGAAUGCACUGUAUCUUCUCCACACACCCCUCCCCUUCUUGUUUCCACAUUUUAAAUUAUACUCAAGACACGUUAACUUCACAUAUUUGAGAUGCUUAUCACUGACAGCCGCAACUCAAUAAUCAGCUAGGCAUAUUGCCAAGCGCGCUGCCCAAAUUACGGGUUUCCCAAAUGGGCAUAGGCCUAUGAGCUUGUGGUUUGAAACAAUCCACAGCAAUUUUUUUCAGAAGUAGCUAAUGAUCCUCGAAUCCUCUGUGGUUAAAUCAUGCUUUCUGGUGAAGUAUUUUAUUUAUUUCUGUAUAGACAGGAGUAAUUAUAUAAUUUUGGAAAAUGUAUUUCCCUUUACUUCCCUAUUGGACCCUCCACUAUGCCAUUUCUCUCCUGUUGUAUUGAUUUUCAUAAUCAACUUUAUUUCGCUGUCCAGAAGCCAGACUCACAAUCCUAGUCAUAUUAGCAACUAGUUGUUGCAUCUUUAGGUUCCCCCUCUUUCUAAGUUUCUAACGUACAGUAUGGAACCGCCAUAAGGUGCACAGUUUAGAAUGGUGUUUUCCCAGGUGCACAGUUUAGAAUGGUGUUUUCCCAGGUGCACUGUUUAGAAGGGUGUUUUCCCAGGUGCACUGUUUUAGAAGGGUGUUUUCCCAGGUGCACUGUUUUAGAAUGGUGUUUUCCCAGGUGCACUGUUUUAGAAGGGUGUUUUCCCAGGUGCACUGUUUAGAAUGGUGUUUUCCCAGGUGCACUGUUUAGAAUGGUGUUUUCCCAGGUUCACUGUUUUAAAAUGGUGUUUUCCCAGUGCACUGUUUUAGAAGGGUGUUUUCCCAGGUGCACUGUUUAGAAUGGUGUUUUCCCAGGUGCACUGUUUAGAAGGGUGUUUUCCCAGGUGCACUGUUUUAGAAGGGUGUUUUCCCAGGUGCACUGUUUUAGAAUGGUGUUUUCCCAGGUGCACUGUUUUAGAAGUGUGUUUUCCCAGGUGCACUGUUUAGAAGGGUGUUUUCCCAGGUGCACUGUUUAGAAUGGUGUUUUCCCGCUAAUUAUAUUUUGGAAAAUGUUUUAUUGAUUGCUUCAUUACAGGAGUUGCAUGUUCUGUUAAGAUGUAUUACCACAAUCUAAAUGUGAUUUCUGUCAUUCUGAGCACCGUGGGUGGACGCUCUAAUGGGUUAUGCACCCAAUGCAUAUGGAUCCGGCAAAUUUCUCAAAUGGGCGGUAAAUUUGAAUCUUCCCGGUCAAGUUGUCAAAAGGAAACCCUUACACGCACGCAUGCAACAUACAGCAUACACAUACAACAGGACACAGAUGAGCACGGCAUUGAUACAAGCGCUGACGCAGAGGUACACACACUGUAUGCUCCAAGACACACACAUGCCCCGAUGCACCGAGGUACACACGCAAAUGGAAACUAUGCACAAUGACACAGAUAGCUAAACAUAGACAGACACUCAUAUGGCCACCGCUAACUGAGAGCUGCGGUUGACAUUCUGUCUUAACCUAACAUUGGUUUCAUUCUCUCCUUCCAAGAUGAGAUGGAGGGACUGGACUUGGAGGGUAAGGUCUGGAGUAGAGGAGACCACAAAACACUCUUAUUAAAAAAGGUGUUAUCUAGAACCUAAAAGGGUUCUUCAGCUGUCCCCAUAGGAUAACCCUUUGAAAACCCCUUUUUGGUUCCAGGUAUAACCCUUUUGAGUUCAAUGUAGAACCCUUUCCAGAGAGGAAAGAGAUACUAACUAUUGUAGAGAUACUAGCUAUUGUAGUUAAAGGAAAUCAGCUCCUUGUUAGAGGCAAUAUCCCCUGGGCGAUGUUAGAUUAGCUUUGUCACUCUGCUGUGGUGGCUAGCAAAAUGCAUACCUAUAGCAAAGUUAUAUUUCCUGUUCUCCUGUAGAAUACUUUGUGGGAAGCAAACCCAUGUAUUAAAGGAAGACCACGUUUUCCUGAUGUGACCUUCCUCUUAUCUCUCUCCUCUCCCCCUCCCCUCUCUCCGUCCUCUGACCC